rnacentral:rRNA from 1 species
GGCUUAGAGUUUGAUCAUGGCUCAGGACGAACGCUGGCGGCGCGCCUAACACAUGCAAGUCGAACGGAGUUGAGAGGAGCUUGCUUUUCUUGACUUAGUGGCGAACGGGUGAGUAACGCGUGAGGAACCUGCCUCAAAGAGGGGGACAACAGUUGGAAACGACUGCUAAUACCGCAUAAGCCCACGGUCUCGCAUGGGACAGAGGGAAAAGGAGCAAUCCGCUUUGAGAUGGCCUCGCGUCCGAUUAGCUAGUUGGUGAGGUAACGGCCCACCAAGGCGACGAUCGGUAGCCGGACUGAGAGGUUGAACGGCCACAUUGGGACUGAGACACGGCCCAGACUCCUACGGGAGGCAGCAGUGGGGAAUAUUGCACAAUGGGGGAAACCCUGAUGCAGCGACGCCGCGUGGAGGAAGAAGGUCUUCGGAUUGUAAACUCCUGUUGAUGGGGAAAAAGAGGAUGGUACCCAACAAGGAAGUGACGGCUAACUACGUGCCAGCAGCCGCGGUAAAACGUAGGUCACGAGCGUUGUCCGGAAUUACUGGGUGUAAAGGGAGCGCAGGCGGGUAUGCAAGUUGGGAGUGAAAUACAUGGGCUCAACCCAUGAACUGCUCUCAAAACUGUGUAUCUUGAGUAGUGCAGAGGUAGGCG